GGAAUACUCCAAUGCUGGCAAGUGGUUUGCAAAAACACAUGGGGGUGCACUGAGAGUGGAAAAUCCAAUGGAUCUCAGAAGGGUGUGAAGACAGACAGACCAGCACGAGUCCACCAAACAAAAAACGUUUUGAUCAGAACUGUGUCGUUUUGUCCACCUGGAUUCACCUCCAAUUUCCUCGUGCUCUCUCCCUCUCCCUCUCUCCCCACAUUUUUAACGUUACGUCUUCUACCAAUGGCAAUGGGUCCCUUCCUUCCUCCCUCCCUCCGGGACCACUCGGUAACCGUUCACUUUUUUCCCAACAUAUGCACGAAAUCUGGUUGUCCCAUUCCCAUGGAGGAGGAGGAAGAGGAGCAUACAUUAAACUUUCUUAUAAGAAAAAAAAAAAGUUCAAAUGAUGAUGAAUAUUUCCAAAUUCCAAUCUUAUUCCCUUCUCGACGGACUUGACUUUCAUGCCAUCCAAACCAUAAAUGAAUGAAAAAUAUAAUUUUUUAUUCGCAUACGAAAAAUAAUUUUAUUUCCCUUUCUUUCACUUCAUUGGAGAGAGAGAGUAAAAUCUUAUCUUUCCUUAUUUUUUAUUUUUAAAAAAAUGCACUUCGUUUUUCU
rnacentral:lncRNA from 1 species